AUGAGGUGGGACACAGCUCAUGAAUCUCCCAUCUUCUCUGUGGGCAAUCUUGAAGACAUUCAUGGCUUCUGUGACAGCUUUGUGACAGCUUCUCACCAGUCUCUGUCCUCACCUAAGAUCUAAGCCCCAACACUGACCUGCAUAGACAUUGCAGUAUGGAAGAAAUGGUGGGGAGGAGAGGUCAAAGGUGGAAUCUCAGCAGUGAAGUGCUCCAGGGAAGAGUUCAGUGACUUCUCACACAAACUGCCACGGUCAUAUACCUCAGAGUGUCCCUACAGAGAAGCUGCCACUAUGAGCCUCACAGCUAGGAGACUGAGUCAGAGAGGCCCAGAGUGGAGAGGCAGGUGCUGGGAGAGUCUGACCACAGGACAGACACAAUCCCUUCCCCAUGGGGCAUUGCCUCUGGUCAAGCCCUGAAGAAUGGCCUGAAGGCAGAGCAAACAAGUGGAGUGUCUGUCUUCAGACACACCAGAAGAGGGCAUCAGAUCCCAUUACAGAUGGUUGUGAGCCACCAUGUGGUUGCUGGGAUUUGAACUCAGGACCUCUGGAAGAGCAGCCAGUGAUCUUAACGGCUGAGCCAUCUCUCCAGCC